GACGAACGCUGGCGGCGUGCUUAACACAUGCAAGUCGAACGGAAAGGCCCUGCUUUUGUGGGGUGCUCGAGUGGCGAACGGGUGAGUAACACGUGAGUAACCUGCCCUUGACUUUGGGAUAACUUCAGGAAACUGGGGCUAAUACCGGAUAUGAGCUCCUGCUGCAUGGUGGGGGUUGGAGAGUUUGGGCGGUUGGGGAUGGACUCGCGGCUUAUCAGCUUGUUGGUGGGGUAGUGGCUUACCACGGCUUUGACGGGUAGCCGGCCUGAGAGGGUGACCGGCCAAAUUGGGACUGAGAUACGGCCCAGACUCCUACGGGAGGCAGCAGUGGGGAAUAUUGCACAAUGGGCGGAAGCCUGAUGCAGCAACGCCGCGUGCGGGAUGACGGCCUUCGGGUUGUAAACCGCUUUCGCCUGUGACGAAGCGUGAGUGACGGUAAUGGGUAAAGAAGCACCGGCUAACUACGUG
rnacentral:rRNA from 1 species